rnacentral:rRNA from 1 species
UAGUCCACGCCGUAAACGAUGUCAACUAGCCGUCGGGCUCAUUAUAAGGGUUUGGUGGCGCAGCUAACGCGAUAAGUUGACCGCCUGGGGAGUACGCCGGCAACGGUAAAACUCAAAGGAAUUGACGGGGCCCGCACAAGCGGUGGAGCAUGUGGUUUAAUUCGAUGCAACGCGAAGAACCUUACCUACACUUGACAUGCUGAGAAGUUACUAGAGAUAGUUUCGUGCCUUCGGGAACUCAGACACAGGUGCUGCAUGGCUGUCGUCAGCUCGUGUCGUGAGAUGUUGGGUUAAGUCCCGCAACGAGCACAACCCUUGUCUUUAGUUGCCAUCAUUCAGUUGGGCACUUUAAAGAGACUGCCGGUGACAAACCGGGNGGAAGGUAAGGAUGACGUCAAGUCAGCAUGCCCCUUAUGCUCUGGGGCUACACACGUGCUACAAUGGUCGUGACAAAGAGUUGCUACUCUGUGAAGACAAAGCUAAAUCU